GUUUGGCUAUGCCGAUGCUGAAGUGAGCGUAA
rnacentral:scRNA from 1 species